GUUGUGCUUUUCUCCUUUCAUCCAUGAACCUGAGUGAAAAACUGACUUGGAUGGAAAAUUGGCCUUACCAUCAGGAUCCAAAGGAAGUGAUCAGUGCUUCAAAGUCUGAUUGGGGGUUGGUUUCAAGAGGUGCUCCUAAACUGCUGAAACUGGGCUGACUCUGUCAAACUUUUCUAUCAACGAUGUGGACAGUGGGAUGGUACACUCUCAGCAACUCCAUGAAUAACACCACAUUGGAAGGGAGGGUCAAUACUCUAGAGGACAGGGCUGCCACUCAGAAGGACCUGGACGAGCUGGAGGGAUGGACCAACAGGGAUCUCAUGAAAUUCAGCAAAGACAAACGCAAAGCCCUGCACCUGAGAUGGCAGCUUGAAGUUUAUCUUCACUGCAAAAAGGUUAUUUGAAAAGUGUUCCUGAAUCGAGACUGCUACCUGAAAUUAAAAUCCCAGUGAACUGAAGGAACAACAGUAGUAGUUACCUCAGAGGGAAGUAGCUGAGAUGGUGGAGAUGAGAUUGAUAGACAUGAAACAGAAGUACUGCUGUUCCUGUGAGAAACCCAGCUGACUCACAACCCCAAUAAAGAGGAGCAAAAGGCCUGGGGAGCUUUCUGUAUGCACAAGAGGGCACCGUUGGUCUGUGUGUCAGGAGGGCUCGUUGGGGAGGCAGCCUUUUGCCUGUAGGAUGCUGCACUUUGCUGUGCAGAAAGAGCCCAGGCCAUCCCCAAUUACUCUCUCUCUCCCUUCCUACCACCACAGCAGCCAAGGAGUUUCCGGAGGGCCCUGUCUCUGUGCUGUCAGCCACAUUGCUGAUGAUAAAAAAAAAAAAAUUAGGCUUGUUUGCUGCUGGUUGGACACACUCAGCCCCGGGUUUCCAGGCUGUAGGACAUCUGUGGAGCCACUCCAGAAACAGGAAACCAUGGACUUGACUAUAGCUGGUAAGGUUUCCAAGAGGAAAAGCCAUUAUGGGGGAUCCAAAUUACUUUUCAUCUACUACUUGAUAUAGCAUUGCUGAGGACACUCUGCGGAAUGUGACUUAAGUCAGCCUGUUUUGUGGCAGUUUUACUUAAAAAGGCCUUCAUGUUAUCCUAAAGCAAACAAGACAGGGCAUCUCAGGCAAAAAUAGCUGUAUGGUGAAGAUAUUUGCCAUUAUAUGGUCACUGCAGGCCUACUGUUCUUAAAACCAAAAUCAUAGCCUUGCUGAAAACUGAUUUCUUGCCUACACCCUUUGUCAUUGUCCAGAGAUUUCAAUUUCACAAACGAAAAUUAGGAAGCAUCAUUGUCUUUACUGCUGAGCCAUGCUUUGCUGCUAAGAAUUUUAACUUAAAUGUUUUGAGGCUGAGUUCAAGACAAAGCAUUUCAGUGUCAUAUCAUUGCUGAGUGAGUCUCUGAUGUUUAUGAUUGCAGAGGAAAAGGUCUUACCCACUGAGUCAGCCUGAAUAUGUAGUAAAAGGAUGUAUGUUGAGGAAAUGUGUAAGCUGCUGAUCAAAACUGGAAGCAUGAUCUUCAUCAACAACCAUACCAGAUCAUUAGGAACUUACCCACAUCAUGCUCUUGAACAUAAGAGACAAGCAGAAAAGGAUCAUCAUUACUUACAUAGAUUCAAAGAUACUGACUUGUGUAUUUAGGAAGGAAAAACCCAUAAAACAAGUCUGACAGUCAGCCUGCCAGUUAAAAGCCAAUGGACUGAAGCAAAAGGACUAUGGCAAAGAUUCUUGCCUGCAGCUGUCAGACAAACAGACAUUUGCCUUGAUAAUGAAGUGAGGAGACUCUAGAAAUUUCAGAAUACCCAGAGCAGGAGCUUAUACGUUCUGAAAUGUUUGAAAUGAUGGAUGUUUCUGCACAGGUGCUAAAUAGAAGAUGAUUCAUGUUCUAGAAUGACUAUUAUCAGUGAAAACACAUUCCAUCAAUUUUUCCUCAUUACCCUCUGAAGACAUCAAGUCUCUUACACAGUCUUUGACACUACAGGGGUUAGGAUAUUCACAUCAUAACCAGUUAUGAAAGGAAAGUUUUUCAGGUACCUUCUAAGGAAAGUUGCCUUUAAGUAUUGCAGUGGUUUAGUGCAACAGCCUGUGGUUAGAAAUUAGUGCAUGCUUUUCAGAAUCAAAGUGCAAGUCAUUCAUCAGCAAUCUUUCCAAGGUUGCCCAUGUUAUGAAAUCCCUCAAGCAUUUUCUGAAGAACUGUGAAACUGUCAGAGACUACCAGCAUUCUUCCAUUAUACCUGUGAAGGCCAGAAGUAUAUGGUCUCUGUAGAGACCAUAUUGAGAAAUCAGGUGUCUAAGUUGAGAAGGAAAUAUUUGCAACUAGAUGAUCAGCAUCACUUUCUUGUGCUAUGGCACCAAAAUAUAUGGAAAAAAUGGAUCUGACAGAAGAAAGGGAAGAUAAGUUCAGCAAAGACAAAUGAAAAGUCCUGCAUCUUGAUGGGAAAACUCCAUGUAACAGUACAGGCUGGAGGCCAACUGGCUAGAAAGCAGCUUUGCAAGAAAAGGCCUGUGCUUCCUGGUGGAGAACAAAUGGAACAUGAAUCAGCAGUGCACACUUGCAGGAAACAGAGCCAACCACAUACUAGCCUCUACUAGCAAGAGUGUAGCCAGCAGGUUCAGGGAAGAGACCCUUCCCCUCUAUUCACCAUUCGUGAGAUUGCAGCUGGAGUUCAGUGUCCAGCUUUGCCUGCUAGCACAAAGGUGUCAACAUAUUGGAAUUAGUCCAGUGCAGGGCCACAGGAUAGUUAGAGGGCUGGAGCACAGGACGUAUUAGGAGAGGCUGAGAGUGCUGUGUUUGUUCAGCCUUAAAAAAGAAGGCAAAGAGAAGAUCUAAUUACUCUCUACUACUGCCUAAUGGGAGAAUGAAAAGAGGAUGGACCCAGACUCCUCUCAGAGGUGCACAGUGGAAGGACAAGAGACAACGAGCACAAGUUAGAACACAGAAAGUUCUAACAUGAUAUAAGAAAAAUAUUACCAUGAGGUGGCCAAACAGGAGCCUGGAGCAUCUGUAGAAUCUCCAUCCUCGCAGUUAUUCAAAAUUUGAUGAGACCGGGCAGCCUAGACCUCCUCUGAGUGGAAGGUUGGACUCCCUGAGUUGAGGCUGAAGGGAUGAUCUCCAGAGGUCCCUUCCAAUCUACAUGAUUUUAUAAAGGGCAAUUGACAGUCACUCUGAGCCAAAAUCCAACUAGGAAAUUCAAGUGUUCCUUGAAUUGCUCCGAUCGCUACUGAGACAACUUCAUUUUGUAAAAUCAGCAAUCAUUAAAAUGCCUUACUGCCUGUUAGACAAAGGAGAUCCUUAGAAAAUGAUUUGCUAGCAUUUAGAGGCCUUCAAAAAAAUCAGGCAACUGCUGUCCAGUUCUCCACUCAUCCAUUACGAUGAAGAGAGGUCGUUGCUGAUUAUUAACUAUGCAACUUUUUGUGGUUUUGGAGCCAUCCUCAGACAUUCAUUAAGAGAUGGAAUUGAAGCACCUUUUCCUUGCUAUUCAGGAAUGCUGAUAUCCACUGAACAAAAUAAGAAUUGAUAAAGAGCUUGCCACUUCUAAGGAUUUUCUCCAAAGACGAGCCAACAGUUUCAGUCAUAUUGCUGUGUAUGCAGUGAUGGAGAUAUUAUAUGCAGUAAUAGAGAGUUACACUAAGUGCUUGUGAUCACACAUUUUUUUGUGAGCCAGAAAAAAUUAUUUUUACAAAUGUCAAUGUGUGGAGAUGACUGUCACUGCAUAUAAUGAACAGAUUGUGUUCUUCCACCUGCAGCUGAAUUUUCAGUGCUGGAAUGCCUCCUAUGCCUGUUCAAGCCAACCAUGUCAUGAAAAUGGCUGCCAAGGAUCUAUCCAUAGCUUGACCUGGGUCCUUGGCUGGGUGGGAAGGAGGAGGUUGGCUAACAAAGUGACUGAGUGGAAUUGAAAUAAUUUUUAACCCAGCAGUCUGAUCUGUCUGCUAAUGAAGAAGUUUUAUUUCACCAUUCAUACAGGAAAUCAACAGAUUAUUUUGGUUUUAGCUACAUUAUGUCCAGCAAAUUCAGAUACUGCACACCCAAAAAUGUUCACCUGAAGUUGCAUCCAAUACUCUGAAGUCAGUGCUACCAUAGUCAGAAUUGAAUGUGUCAGUCAGCAACAACCACAGUGUUUCCCUGGGAGGUGUCCAAGAAGACACGGUCAAGUUUCAAAUUCACUGGCCUCUUCUUUUGAAAGAAUUUCCUGAGUGUGAUAGCUUCUUAUACAAAAUAGCUUGAAGCGAUUUUUAGUCUCAUCAUGAACAUCCGUUGCAACAGUCUCUGCUAUUUCUCAACAGAGAAAAAGUCACAAUUACUGAAUAUAUUGUAUUUGACAUCAGAACUAUCUUCAGUUCUGGUAAGGUCAAGGACUUUCCCAAAAGCAACCUAUUUCGAACUGUUACUACUGCAUUAUGCCUUUUCCAGGGAAAUAGUCAGGCCAAAUGGCUCAGUCUGUCAGAGAUGCUUAAAAGGGAUUAUUAAUAGGCUCAUUCCUCAUUGCUCAGAAUAUUUACUCUUGUCCAACUAUGUCAGCCCAGAUGAGCUAACCAUGGGAUAGGCCAAGUCACACCACAGUUUUCUCAGCCUUGUUCCGUCAGAAAACUGUGAUACAGGUAAGAGCAAACUGUAGAUUUAUCUCUGUCAUUGUCUAUAUUUUAGUUGUAUUUGUAGAGUAGGAGAAUUCAAAAUUGCAAGAAAGUGUGAAGCUGGACCAAAGGAAGUUCCUUCAACAGUUACUGAUAAAACCUUGUCUAAGCUCAUGAGAGUCUUUAUUUAGAUGGGAGGAGCACUUCUGAGUCAUUGUUUCCAAAGUGUAAAGCAGUAUAUAGAGAGAUCACAGCAGAAUGGAGUGCCCACUGACAGAUGAUUAUGGUUAUGGUCAUCUGUAGCGGACAGCCAUUUCAUAUAUGCACAAAGGGAGAUCAUAGGACAAGUGGCCAUCUGUGAUGCUGUGUGGUAUGCACAGGAGUCUUUUCUCUUGGUGCAGAAAAGGUGCAUGACCCUUUUUGUUUCUUUCACUCUCUACUUAUACAGCAGAAACCUGGGAGAUAUAGGAGGGCUUUGUUCAUAUUUUUUUGGUCUUUAUGUUGGUGAUAUUACAGAGGUCAUGUUCACUUGCUGUUGGCUGCUUCAGUUUGUGUCAUGCUUCUCAAGCACAAUAGGGAAAGAGAUGGAACACACAGCAAGCAGAGUAUUGAUCUGAAAACAUGGUGUUAGUUCAGCUAUUACUAUUUAAUGUCUUCAGUAGGUUUUACAGAGAAUGUGAUUAACAGAACGAGAAAGACAUAGAAAAAAAGAUCUGGAAGAAAAAAGAUGAGAUUGUCAGGGCAGGGAGAACCUCAGGGCAGGAAAGUGUGAAAAACAUGUAACGUGAGACUAAGAUCUUUUUAUCUUUUGCUGUUGAGCAAAGGAAGGAAUUAUGCUAUGCAGAUGCGUUGCUGCUUUGGUGGGCUUCUGGUAUCUUCUGGAAGGGGUAGACACGGUGAGAGCACAGCUGCAAUAGAUUGCUGUGUGGCUGUUUCGUGCAAGGGCAGAAUGCUUCUGCUCAGAGCUGCUGAAAACACUCUACAGAAGUCAUCCAGAAACCUGCCACUCUGAGUUUCUCUAGCCACCCUUGCUGGUGUAUCCGCCCUUCUCAGGGCUACUUAGUUCAGGCUCCUCAUGGAGCUAGAGGUUGGGGAAAGGAGGAAAGGGGAACUGUAGUACUUCUGGACUAUGGGCUAAAAAAUAGAAAAUUUUGGUAGUUCUGAAAAUUCUGCAUCUACUGUCACUGGCCCUGUAAUGACUUCUGAGGCUUCCUAGCUGUUAACAUCAGUUCCUAGAAUAAACUAACCUUCUCCUUCUUCUGAAUUUAGCUUGGUAAAUUAGUUUUGACAUAGAAUAUUCAAGCUGCAAACAUUCUGUAAAAUGUGAAUGAAAAAUGGUCUUCUUUCCCUGACAUAAGAUUAACAAACCCAGGCAAAAUGACCAAAUGCUGUGCAGCUGUAUCUAAGCUGAAUAACAUGAACUCUUACAACACAGAAAUGAAAUGAAAUUGCUGUAAGAGUUUAUUGAUGUUUCUCAUUAUGAGGCAGUGCAUAUGGUUCAAUUCAUUCAAUAAAAUUUUAUAUAAAAAGAAAAUUAACUAUAUUUCUGCCAUUAACUGCCAACAAUUAAUAUUACCUCUUAGAAGGUAAGUCCCCUCGGUUUCAUUCUUGACAAUUCGACCCCAGAAAUCAGGUUGCAUUAAUGCACCUUAAUCAAAACCAGAGGACAUAGCUACUUAAAAUUUCUAAUUUAAUUUUGUGCAUUUAAAAAAAGGAUAUUUCAUAUUAGUGAUUUCUUAUGAUGGGAUAAAAAAAAUCUCUAAGGCCUAUGUAGCCUUUCAGGAAACACAGUAUUCAGAUAACAAGCUCUUAAUCAUAAUUUUCUUUUGACAAAACUGCAUCUCUGAAGUGUUUUGAGAAUUGAUACCUAAUCUGUUCAUCUGAGCAAUGCCAAACUGGAAAUCUGUUUUAUGUAGCCUCCUCAUAAUAUGCCUAUAAAUCCUCAAAAAACAUUAGAAGAUCUCUAUUGCCUUUCCCAACACGGGGCGAAGUUAUUAAUUUUUUUCUUCUAAUUAUAAGCUAGUGGCUUUGCUUGUGUAAAAACUAUAGGAUUAGGACCAUAUGAAAUCAAGAAAGGAAUAAUAACAUCAGAAAGUUCACUAGGAGAGAAAACCGCCAAAACUUUUGGCCUUUACUAGAGAAACUGAAAUUAGAUUUAUAACUAGCUUUUUCCCCUUUUUCAUUUUGAUGCAUGUGAUACAAGGUUUACUACGAUUCUGUGCAAGUUUUUGUCUAUAGUAAGUCAUAUGCUAUAACUAAAGUUUUUCUAGUAGUGGGUAAUAUAAUAUUUUCUCUGCUUUCUCUGUUUAAUUUCCAGUAAUUUCCAGUUGAGUUAUGUUAGAAACAAACUGACAUCAUGAAUGCUAAAGAAAACAUAAAACUAAUCCCCAAAGAUAGAGAGUCCUUAUGUACAUAAAGUGAGUUUCACAUAAGGAAGAUUCAAAGAAUGCAAGCAUGUUUUUGCCACUGACUCAAUUGAUGUAAUAACAGGAGUAGGAUUUCAGAAACAUCACUGUAAAUGCUAAAUCUGCCAUUGAUCUGAUGUAUUACACAUAUCCUACUGAAGCUCAGAUGUGCUGUAUGGCAUGUCCUGGGGUCCUGAUCCAGUGAUCAUUCAGAGCUGGCUAGAGCAUGCUCUAAAUCCAUUCUGGUCUGUCUUCUUUCUGCAAGAAUCAAGGCGUUGAGAAGUGGCUGGUAUGCAUCUGGAUUUUAUCAUAACAGGGGAGCAAUGGGUUCAAUGUGUUUGGAAGCACUCCCAGAACCACCUAUUUAUAUAUAGCUGGUGAAGAGAUAAAGACGAGUUAAAGAUUGACUUUGAUAAGAUAAAAUGAAGUCUUUUCAUGGUGUAUGCUAUAUUCCAGUACUCCAACACUGGAAAAUAGUCCUACCUGAUGGGCCCUGAGUGUUUCAGUUUCAUUCAGUCAGCUGAAUGCUGAGAGUGCCAAACCAAUGCUUAAAUGAGGCAAAGAAAUCCAUCUUGUGGGGCUGCCCAAGUUGAUGAGUAGCCUCAGAAACAGUCGGGAGAAAUUCUGUGCCAUCCUUACAUUACUUCCUCUGCUACUAGUAGUACAGAUAUACCUAUUAGAUAUUAUAAAUUCAUAAAAGGACAAGGACCUAAAGAUCUAAUGGACCUAAAGAAAUCAUCUGAUCCAUCUCUCUAUCUUUCAGAGAAAUUUCUGUGUCAUUCGUGAUAAGUUUGUCUGACUUGUUCUUUAAAGACCUCCACAGAUGGGGUCUCUCCAAACAGUCUGUUAUGGUAUUUCACAGUUUUUCCUAUUUUUUUCCCCUGUUUUUCAAACCUAUGUGCUAGAGACAUAAA